rnacentral:rRNA from 1 species
UAGAGUUUGAAUCCUGGCUCAGGAUGAACGCUGGCGGCGUGCUUAACACAUGCAAGUCGAACGAUGAAGCCCAGCUUGCUGGGUGGAUUAGUGGCGAACGGGUGAGUAACACGUGAGUAACCUGCCCUUAACUCUGGGAUAAGCCUGGGAAACUAGGUCUAAUACCGGAUAGGAGCGUCCACCGCAUGGUGGGUGUUGGAAAGAUUUAUCGGUUUUGGAUGGACUCGCGGCCUAUCAGCUUGUUGGUGAGGUAAUGGCUCACCAAGGCGACGACGGGUAGCCGGCCUGAGAGGGUGACCGGCCACACUGGUACUGAGACACGGCCCAGACUCCUAUGGUAGGCAGCAGUGGGGAAUAUUACACAAUGGGCGAAAGCCUGAUGCAGCGACGCCGCGUGAGGGAUGACGGCCUUCGGGUUGUAAACCUCUUUCAGUAGGGAAGAAGCGAAAGUGACGGUACCUGCAGAAGAAGCACCGGCUAACUACGUGCCAGCAGCCGCGGUAAUACGUAGGGUGCGAGCGUUAUCCGGAAUUAUUGGGCGUAAAGAGCUCGUAGGCGGUUUGUCGCGUCUGUCGUGAAAGUCCGGGGCUUAACCCCGGAUCUGCGGUGGGUACGGGCAGACUAGAGUGCAGUAGGGGAGACUGGAAUUCCUGGUGUAGCGGUGGAAUGCGCAGAUAUUCAGGAGGAACCACCCCGAUUGGCGAAGGCCAGGUCUCUUGGACUGUA